GUGCUAAAACCAGGGAACCCGAGAAUGCCUAACACAUUCGCUCGGGUUAACAGAAUUCCUUACUCGAAUUUCUGUGUUCGCGGACCAUUAAUAAGAGUCAAGUUUCCUCGAUUCAGGAUUUUAAACCGGUGACUUGGGACACCAUAAAUUAUCCCAAGUGACGACUCUGAACAAUAAAUAAAUAAUCCCGUUUUGAUUGUCACUUAAAUUGGAAAAAACUCCCUUAUACCCUUCCGGGGGUAGGAAAAAGGAGGUGUGACAGCACCAAUAGGCCUACGCCUCUCAUAAGCCUCCCACCAAGUGAAGGCGGCUUCAAAAAACUGAAAAGUAGUGAAAGCGACCCCGCUGGUCUCCAAAAUACCCGUUGUACGAAGAAUCUUCUGACACUAGUCCAAGAAACCCUGGGCAUCCUCGCCCUCUGUACCACUGAAAGUCGGAGGCUGAAGUCUACCAAACCUCUUCAACCUGCGUUGCUCAUCCUCUGGCAUAGCAGGAGCUACAUAGUCCUGAAUAGCUGCAAUCGGUUGGGCUGGAGGUGCCCCCGGUGUAUGAAGUCCCUGCACGACCUGCUCAGGUGUGCUGUUGCGCCCCCUUUUUUCCCCUUCCAUCGGAGAGGAGUUUCCGAGUUUCGACAUUCAUGGGGUGUAAUGAUUCAUUUCCCUUUUGGGAAUUGGGUAUUUUGAAGAGUCGCCCCCUAACAAUUUUAAGGUGCGUUAGGGCACCUAUAAGGUUCAACUACAACUAUGUUUGAUAAACAAAGAUAGGGUAAGGGCUUGAAAUUAUCCCAAGGAGAAGGUGUUAGGCACCCCUCAGGAUCCACUAGUGUGGUUCCCGGCCAAAUAGUUUUUGUGAAUUUGUGUAAUUAUCAAGUAAACAAAUAAAGGCUCAAGUAAUAGGGGAUUUAAUUUUAAAUACACAAACGUUUGGAAAAAGAUUAAGAAAAAAGGUUUUGAAAAAAGUUACAAUCUAAACAUGCUUGUGAACAUAAAAGGGGUCCUAGGUUUGUUUGUAAUAUGGAUCACCUCAAUGCAAUACCCAGUAUGACACUCCUUAGAAGAGGGGAUACACGUGGUAUUAGCGCACCAGUCAUCAUAUCCAUAUCUACCCUUCCCACACAAUUAAAGUAUUAAAGCGAGGAUUGGUCUCGACCUCUAUUGUGUGCUGUUACCCGUCCCAUUCCUAUAAGUCCUAGAGGAAUUUAGGACUACUAUUCCUAUAAGAGGGAGGUUUUGGGCUGACUCUUGGAUUUAAAGGUAAAAGGCUAAGGCGACAAACAAAACAUGUAGGACUGCAUUUAAAAGGGAAACAUGUACAGAAUUAGAAGGCUCAUGUAUACCUCCGCAAAUAAUGCAUAUAAAUAGCACGGCUUAAACACAGUUAAGGUCUGAAUUUAAAAGACUAAAGCAGGGUGUUUGAGUUAUUGAAGCAGAACCAAAUUCAUUACAUAACUCAGAUAAGAAGUCCGAAUCAGGCAUGCCUGCUAGUUGUAGCAGUUGCUAUUUAAACAGAGGCAAUUUCAAUUUCAUUCGAAUUAUUACCUAUGGCUUUCCUAGGCAUGUGAUACCGAUGUCUUAUGAGCAUGAUAUCUAUUACUGAUUAGGGAUGUAAUAAAGCAGUAAACAAAUUUUAAACAAGCGAUUUGGACCCUAUAUACAUGCUUUCUAGUGAUAUUGAUUUACACGAAAGAGUAGGUUAUUUAAUCUGAUUCAGAAUAAAUAGGUUAUAACUAAACUGGCUUCAGAUCCCAUAGACAUGAUUUCUAUUACAGCUGAUUUUAAAUCCUAUAGGUAUGGUAUCUAAUUAUUAAAAGCAGAUUUUGAUCUUAUAGGCAUGAUUUUAAGGAGACGAAUUGGAAUACAUGCUGUAAUGGAAACUGGACUUCAAUUAUUUUACACCCUAAAGGCAUGAUAUCUAAUUGUGUGAAAGUGAAGCAUGCAGAAUUUAUUAAACUAAAGCAGAUCCUAUAGGCAUAUUAUCUAACAAGCACGUUUGAAUCAAAAUGGAUCCUUUAGACAUCUUAUCUACCCUUCUGCUAGCACCCCGUCCCUUUUUCACUAGCCAGCCCCAAUAUUUGUUUACAAAUUAUUACAGACCAAAUAAUUGAAAUACCUAAGAAGUGCAAAAUAAGAAGUUACAACCAUAGGAAGCCUGAUUCUGACUUCCUCUAUGAGUUAUAGAAUAAAACCACCUCAAAUGCCAAUGUCAUUUCAAAGCCUUUCUCAUAUCUGGGUGUGUCAGAGUUCCCUAAAGACCUCAAGGGAUGCCGGGUAGUGCUCACACCCAGAUUUGCAUAGCCAAACAGAGUAAGUGCAGUGUGGAAAGGCCAGCUCAUGUGUGUCCAAGUUCAGAGGGAGCUCAAGGGUCCCAAGGCAAGGUUCACACAAAAGGGGCAGAACCUAGAUUCAAAGAGUAUGGUGAAGGUGCAGAACACAUGUUGAAAGAAAUUUGUUUGAAAAGCUGGACUGAUGGUCCAUUUUGAAUGUAAUCAGUUACAGGAGUGUUUGAAAUCAAUAAUAGUAAAAUGAGACUCGAAACUUAGUAGUCACACAAAGGGGUCAAGGGACUUGUGGACACACAGACAUUUGUCUGUAAACACAAAACCCCAGUCGGGGUCUGGUUUUGACAUACACAGUAAUAGUUGAUACUGGAAUAGUCACAAACCAAACACAUAGAGGGGAUAUGGGGGUUUGAGAUUCAUAAGACUGCAAGUAUACAGCAAGUGACUGACAGAGCAUGCCUUGGAACACAUGUAGGGGAGUGCAUUAAUCUAAAGGGGAAGGGGAUACAUUAUAACAUGCUGGUAAUGUAUCUUGACUGCAGAACCACAGGCAGAAGUAGACAAGAAUGAGAGAAAUUGGAACAAUUAAGAAACAUGUUGUUGUUGAGGCCUGAAAAAUUAACUAGGGCAUACCAGUAGAGAAGCAAAGUGCAGAAAGGAAGAGUAAGAAGGAUUCCAUAGUCUAGUCUUGGCUUUCAGCCGGCUAGACAAAGCAAUAGCACAAGUAGUAGUAGAGAAAGAGAGAGUUUUGAGUGUAAGUGUGUGUUUUUUUAACUCAAAUUGUUCGUGUGUUUAAAGAAGAGAGGAUAGGGUAUUUAUAGUUUUGAAAACGAGUAAAGAAUAAUGUAAAAAGUAAGGUUUUAAUACAGACAUGGAAACAAUCACAAUCAGAAUCAAUUAAUACAAGUACUUCCCUUUAAUCAGGGAAUUACUGCUCAAACGGAUACUAAAAGGGUCAAAUAAAGGAAAGAAAUCAUUUUGGGACAGAUUGAUUCUUGCCAUAUAAGGGGGCAGUAAAAGUAUGAAGUAAAUAAUUAAGUCUAAGUACAAAAUAUGCUUAAUUUUAGGAAAAGAUUCAGCAAGGUAAAACAUCACCGUAAUUAAGGAAGGGAAUCAAUCAAUUUUAAACAAAUGAGUAAAAAUUAGGGUUUAUAAGGCAACCUUUUGCAAUCAGUCGUAACAUUGAGGAAAUCAAGAAUAAUCAAGAAAGAAUCAUGACUCUGCACUUCAGCAUAUAAAUAGAAUGAACAGAAAUAUUAGACAUGCAAGGCCAAACGCAUUGGCAAAAGAAAAAACUGGAUGCAUACAAACAUGCAGCAGUAACAAGAGUAAGCUAGGGAUCAGUAGUCAACCAAGUCAAAUAGUCAGGGUUCACACGUAGAGCCAAAGUGAAGAAACCAGUCCAACAAGCAAAGAGAGUCAGAAACAAGUAAAGAUCUCAUAGUAACAAGUGAGGAAAAACUUUUAAGAAAUUAGGAUUUUCACAAUAGUAAGAACACAGAAUCAGAUAAGUCAAACAGGAAAGAGGAUUCAAACACAAAGAGCUUAAUAGAAACAAGUAUACACAAGACAAACAAAGGCAUCUUCAAAACUCGGAUAAAACCAAAACACUUAAGGUUUUUAACACGAGGAACCAGAUGGAAGAAAAAUAUAAGCAAAUCGUUUAAACAAAGUAAAACAUUACUGAAAAAUCGAAGAAGAGAUCUUUGAAAAGAGUCUAAGAAAACCCUAGUUUGAAAAUGAAGAGUCACUUUGAAAGAAAAUCGAAAAACCUUUUUGGAAAACAUCAAGAAGUUCAUAACGCGCACAGAUCUAAAACAAAUCUGAAAGAAAAAUCAAAAAACUCUUAGAGCUAGGGUUUCAGAGAACCCAGAGAAAGUGAGAAAGACUUUGAAAAGUUACCGAUCUAGCCGGAAAAGUCAAGUAUCUGACUUGAACAUCCAUGGAUGGCCGGAAGAAGGCCAUAGAUAGAAGUUGAACCAAGACUGGACCUUUGAGAUCUGUCCAUGGAAUCACGAAAAUAGGUAACCAACAGACAUAACAGACUAGUACACCCCUCAAAUCACCAUGGGAGCCCAUGAAUUAGGUAGGGAUCGCAAGGGAUUAGGGUGGAAUUGGGUGGUGGAGGCUAGGGUUUAUGUGAGGAUGCAGAGAGAAUUGAGAGGAGAGGGAUUCAAGGGCGGCGGGUGGUGAGAAAUGAAUUAGGUUAAGG
rnacentral:lncRNA from 1 species